rnacentral:rRNA from 1 species
UGGAUCCAGACUUUGAUCAUGGCUCAGGAUGAACGCUGGCGGCGUGCCUAAUACAUGCAAGUCGAACGAAACUUCUUUAUCACCGAGUGCUUGCACUCACCGAUGAAGAGUUGAGUGGCGAACGGGUGAGUAACACGUGGGCAACCUGCCCGAAAGAGGGGGAUAACACUUGGAAACAGGUGCUAAUACCGCAUAACCAUGAACACCGCAUGGUGUUCAUGUGAAAGGUGGUUUCGGCUACCGCUUUCGGAUGGGCCCGCGGCGCAUUAGCUAGUUGGUGGGGUAAAGGCUUACCAAGGCAAUGAUGCGUAGCCGAACUGAGAGGUUGAUCGGCCACAUUGGGACUGAGACACGGCCCAAACUCCUACGGGAGGCAGCAGUAGGGAAUCUUCCACAAUGGGUGAAAGCCUGAUGGAGCAACGCCGCGUGGGUGAAGAAGGUCUUCGGAUCGUAAAACCCUGUUGUCAGAGAAGAAAGUGCAUGAGAGUAACUGUUCAUGUUUCGACGGUAUCUGACCAGAAAGCCACGGCUAACUACGUGCCAGCAGCCGCGGUAAUACGUAGGUGGCAAGCGUUAUCCGGAUUUAUUGGGCGUAAAGGGAACGCAGGCGGUCUUUUAAGUCUGAUGUGAAAGCCUUCGGCUUAACCGGAGUAGUGCAUUGGAAACUGGGAGACUUGAGUGCAGAAGAGGAGAGUGGAACUCCAUGUGUAGCGGUGAAAUGCGUAGAUAUAUGGAAGAACACCAGUGGCGAAAGCGGCUCUCUGGUCUGUAACUGACGCUGAGGUUCGAAAGCGUGGGUAGCAAACAGGAUUAGAUACCCUGGUAGUCCACGCCGUAAACGAUGAAUGCUAAGUGUUGGAGGGUUUCCGCCCUUCAGUGCUGCAGUUAACACAAUAAGCAUUCCGCCUGGGGAGUACGACCGCAAGGUUGCAACUCAAAGGAAUUGACGGA